UCUUGAGCAGAGAAGGGACGUGCCUCCAGUUGAGUUUGAGGGCUUGUCAUACAGGAGAUGUGAUACUUCCUCACCUCACAUCUGGAAGGUGAAGGUUGAAGGUGUGGCUGUCAUUUGCAGUGCUCUUUCCUUUAGUUAAUCCUGUGAGUAUUGUCCAGGUGCCAGCAUGGACAAUGGAACAGCACUGUUGGAUUUUGCUCUCUAACUGUACCUGGCAGUGAGAAAGAAAAAUAACAACACACCCAUGGUUAUGGAGGUUACUUGGGAGGAAAAUGUCAUGUGCCAGAAACGUGGCUGGGAAAUGCCAGUACUCUAUCUUUUAUGAUAAGAACAAAGGACCAAAUCCUGAAGUUCUUCCUAGGAUGGGCUCCUAGUCAAAUCUUCUUCCCUUCAGUUCUCCAUAAGCCUACAGAGGAAGUAUUACAGGUAGAUGUUUCUCUUUGAAAUCUAAGAAGAGAGGGUAAAACCAGUCUUCGUGUUAGCCUAGUUGGCUGAGAUCAGCUACAGGCAGAAUAUAGAUGAUUUAUCCUGGUGAGCCAUGGUUAGA